rnacentral:rRNA from 1 species
GGACCCGCACAAGUAGUGGAGCAUGUGGUUUAAUUCGAAGAUACGCGCAGAACCUUACCAACACUUGACAUGUUCGUCGCGACUCUAAGAGAUUAGAGUUUUCGGUUCGGCCGGACGAAACACAGGUGCUGCAUGGCUGUCGUCAGCUCGUGUCGUGAGAUGUUGGGUUAAGUCCCGCAACGAGCGCAACCCUCACUUUUAGUUGCCAUCAUUAAGUUGGGCACUCUGAAAGAACUGCCAGUGAUAAGCUGGAGGAAGGUGGGGAUGACGUCAAGUCCUCAUGGCCCUUACGUGUUGGGCUACACACGUGCUACAAUGGUACGGACAAAGGGCAGCAAGUUCGCGAGGACAAG